rnacentral:rRNA from 1 species
UCAGUUCAGAUUGCAGGCUGCAACCCGCCUGCAUGAAGUCGGAAUUGCUAGUAAUCGCGGAUCAGCAUGCCGCGGUGAAUACGUUCCCGGGCCUUGUACACACCGCCCGUCACACCAUGGGAGUCGGAAAUGCCCGAAGCCUGUGACCCAACCGAGAGGAGGGAGCAGUCGAAGGUGGAGCCGGUGACUGGGGUGAAGUCGUAACAAGGUACC